UUUAAUCUCGCAAAAAUUCUAUAUAUAUAUAUAUAUAUAUUGAAAACAGUCAAAUAUUUUGCCUGAAAUCCUUAAGAUCAGAAGUCCGAUGGGGCACUCGUUGAGCAGUUAGCUCAUGUGCCCCGCCGCCUUCAAAUCCUGGGUCUGUCUCUGCAUCCAGGUUUCCUUUUCAUGUAGUUGUAGAAAUGGUCGAGGACCUCCUUUUUAUUCUCUUAUUCUUUUGUUUGUUUUUAAUUUCUGAUUUGUUGUGUAUCUGUGAUUUGAUUUGUCAAAUAGAGUUUUUCACUGGAUAAGAAAACAGGGAAGAAAUGUUAUAUGGUGGCAGCAAGGGAACUUGCUAUUUCAUGGGGUGAUGAACCGCAGUAUUGACUGUUAAGAAAACUAUAAGCGCAACAGAAUACUUAAAAGCAGGAAAUAUCUCAAAGAGUAAGAAAAUUGGAAUUUAUGGUAAUGAUGCAAAAGAUACAAACAUUCCUGUACAAGUGUGAAGAUACUACCUGCUAACAAACAAGCCAGAGUGAGUCUUUGAUGAUGUUUUUUAUUGGUUGAUCCAAAUCACACAGUGCCCCUUUAUACAUUUGUCGAAGAUAAUGAAUUCUUAUUGUUGGUGUCAGACACUUUAUUUACAUGAGCAGAUUUACAAAGUUAAACAUUGGGCUGCUGCUAAGCAAAGGGCAGCUCGGUGCAUUAAACUCUCGCUAUGCGCGGGAUACGGGGAAGGAUCGAACUACAAGGGUUUAUCGUACGCAACAUUACCUUACAUUUCGAACCUAUGACCAAUCGGUUAACAUCGCACUAUUUGUAUACAUCCAUUAAUUUGCAAGGGAUUCAAUACCGAUUUUGAUGGAGACCAAAUGGUUAUUCAUGUUCCUGAAGUAGAGAUCCUUUUACUUAUGUUUUCUUGAAUCUUUUGUCUCAUAUAAUAUCUUGAUAAUCAGACGGAAAAAAUUUCUCCCAAACUAUGUUGGAUUCUGUAGCAGACAUAAAUGUUUGCGAGAUAGCUGAAGAUAUAGCAGCAUCUUUCGGCGACGUUAAGGAGAUAAUUUCCGAUAUACAACCUUCUGGCAGAGACUGAAAAAACUCCAUGGGAAAAUAUAUUGCUAUGAUCAUAUUAGUUUAAGUUGUACAUUAAAUUGAAACGGAGGGAGUAUUAUAUUAUUUUAUGUGAUAUACUGUACGGAACUUCUCCUUACACUUUUGCAAAGCUGUGCAGAACUAAGCCGAUGCCAUGCAUGAUAGGUAGAUAGACUUGAGAAAAGCAAUUGAAGAAGAUAAAUACAUCUAUACUCUUAGGACCCGUUUGUCCAUAAAAAAAAAUUUCUUUUUCGAUUUUAUUUUUCAAAAAUGUGUUUGUCCAUAAAAUUUUUAAAACUUUUUCAAAAAUGAGAUUUACAAAAAUCAAAAGGUGAUUUUGACGUAAAAUUUUCAUUUUUUUUUCCCCACUCACAAAACUACAAACAUUUUUUCAAGUGAAAUACAUAUCCAAACAUAAUUUCAAAUUGCAAAUACCAUUUUCCAACUUAACAGUCUACUCGUUCUUCACAAAUGGUCUACUUGUUCUUCAAAACUGUCUUCCUCUACCUCCUUCCUCCUCCUCCUCCUCCUCCUCUUCUUCUUCUUCUUCCUCCUCCUCCGGACGAAACUCCAUUCCUUGAACAAUGAGGCCAGCUUUUCCAUCGAGAUGUAUAAUCUCCAUUAAUCGAAGAAAAUAUAAAACCUGGAGUCCGGGUGAGGUAACCAUUCCCAAUACUGUGGUGUAUCACCCCAUGUAAUACCAAGUUCUCUUGCUGCCACCAUAAAACAUUUUUUCCCAGUCUUCUUAUCCAGUGAAAAACUCUAUUUGACAUAUCAAAUCACAGAUACACGAAACAUCUGGAA